GAUCAAUUAUAAGGACUAAAUUGAAAUUUUACAUAUUGUGAUGAAUGAUUGAUUUGAUGGGCCCAGGAGGGGCUGUGUGAUGUGAUUGAGUUGUGGAUAUAUGGAUUGUGAAUAUAGAAGUGUGUUUUGAGCCCUUUUGCAGGUUGGGUAGGUCCUAGGUAUAGGGGAGACUCUGCCGGAUUUUCAGCACGACUUAGGACGUACUUGGUCUUUUCUUGAUUUGUAUGGAGUCAUUUGUAUUAAAUAAUUGUAAUGUAAUUGUCAGGUGAGCCGGGACAGCCUUCUUCCUCCGCCCAGCCGCCACAGUGACCGUUGUCCAGUCUGCCACAGGAGGAUAUUUUUGAGGUUAACCUGCUUUCUUCCUCGCAGGUCGAUUAUUAAUGUUUGUAUAAACUUGUUAAAUCUUAGAAUUUCCGCAUGUGUUAGAAAUAUUUAUUUGAUUUGGGUCUGUAAACUAAAUUAUUAUUUUGGACCUGUAAACUUAAUAUUCUAUGCAUGUUUGAUGGAUUGGAUGAGGGAGCUGAGCUCCCAUUUAUUUUUAUGCUGAUGAGUAUGUGGAGGGUGAGCUGAACUCCCCAAUUGAGUA